rfam:Oryza sativa (indica cultivar-group) chromosome 12, whole genome shotgun sequence.
UGUAAAUUGAUUUGUGGUUUCCGAGUCCAACUUUUAACCAUCCGUCUUAUAUGAAACUUUUUUAUGAUUAGUAUUUUUCUUUUUAUUAGAUGAUAAAACAUGAAUAAUAGUUUGAAUCUUUCCAUAAUUUUUUGAAAUAAAACGGACGGUCAAAGGUUAUAUAUGGAAACCCACGAAUCAACUUAUU